UAGCGUAUAUUAAAGUUGUUGCAGUUAAAACGCUCGUAGUCGGAUUUCGGGGCGCGGCCGCCGGUCUGCCGAUGGGUAUGCACUGGCGGCGUCGUCCUUCCUUCCGGAGACUGUCCCUACUCUUAGCUGAGCGGGGUCGGGAGACGGAUCGUUUACUUUGAAAAAAUCAGAGUGUUUCAAGCAGGCAGCUCGCUCUUGCAUGGAUUAGCAUGGGAUAAUGAAAUAGGACUUUGGUGCUAUUUUGUUGGUUUCGAACACCGAAGUAAUGAUUAACAGGGACAGUCAGGGGCACUCGUAUUCCGCCGAGAGAGGUGAAAUUCUCAGACCAGCGGAAGACGAACCACUGCGAAAGCAUUUG
rnacentral:rRNA from 1 species